UAGGGAAUCUUCCACAAUGGGCGCAAGCCUGAUGGAGCAACACCGCGUGAGUGAAGAAGGGUUUCGGCUCGUAAAGCUCUGUUGUUGGAGAAGAACGUGCGUGAGAGUAACUGUUCACGCAGUGACGGUAUCCAACCAGAAAGUCACGGCUAACUACGUGCCAGCAGCCGCGGUAAUACGUAGGUGGCAAGCGUUAUCCCGGAUUUAUUGGGCGUAAAGCGAGCGCAGGCGGUUGCUUAGGUCUGAUGUGAAAGCCUUCGGCUUAACCGAAGAAGGGCAUCGGAAACCGGGCGACUUGAGUGCAGAAGAGGACAGUGGAACUCCAUGUGUAGCGGUGGAAUGCGUAGAUAUAUGGAAGAACACCAGUGGCGAAGGCGGCUGUCUGGUCUGCAACUGACGCUGAGGCUCGAAAGCAUGGGUAGCGAACAGGAUUAGAUACCCUGGUAGUCCAUGCCGUAAACGAUGAGUGCUAGGUGUUGGAGGGUUUCCGCCCUUCAGUGCCGGAGCUAACGCAUUAAGCACUCCGCCUGGGGAGUACGACCGCAAGGUU
rnacentral:rRNA from 1 species